rnacentral:rRNA from 1 species
CUCCAGACUCCUACGGGAGGCAGCAGUGGGGAAUAUUGCACAAUGGGGGAAACCCUGAUGCAGCGACGCCGCGUGAGCGAAGAAGUACCUCGGUAUGUAAAGCUCUAUCAGCAGGGAAGAAGAUGACGGUACCUGACCAAGAAGCUCCGGCUAAAUACGUGCCAGCAGCCGCGGUAAUACGUAUGGUGCAAGCGUUAUCCGGAUUUACUGGGUGUAAAGGGAGCGCAGGCGGCGCGUUAAGCCUGGUGUGAAAGCCCGCGGCCCAACCGCGGGACUGCUCUUGGAACUGCGUGGCUGGAGUGCAGGAGGGGCAGGCGGAAUUCCUGGUGUAGCGGUGAAAUGCGUAGAUAUCAGGAGGAACACCGGUGGCGAAGGCGGCCUGCUGGACUGCAACUGACGUUGAGGCCCGAAAGCGUGGGGAGCAAACAGGAUUAGAUACCCGAGUA